rnacentral:rRNA from 1 species
CCUACGGGGCGCAGCAGUGGGGAAUCUUGGGCAAUGCAGCAAAGCCUGAUCCAGCACUGCCGCGUGUGUGAAGAAGCCCUUCGGGUGGUAAAGCUAUGUUGUCCGGAAAGAAAUCUAAGCCUCUUAUACAGUAGGGAGAUGACGGUACCGGAAGAAUAAGCACCGGCUAACUUCGUGCCAGCAGCCGCGGUAAUACGUAGGGUGCGAGCGUUAUUCGGAUUUACUGGGCGUAAAGCGUGCGUAGGCGGCAGUUUAAGUCAGAGGUGAAAUCCCGGGGCUCAACCUCGGAAGUGCCUUUGAUACUGGAUGGCUUGAGUGCAGUAGAGGUGAGUGGAAUUCCACGUGUAGCGGUGAAAUUCGUAGAUAUUUGGGAGGAACACCAGUGGCGAAGCCGGCUCUCUUGGCCUGAUACUGACGCUGAG